rnacentral:rRNA from 1 species
CCACGCAGUAAACGAUGAAUGCUAGAUGUAGGGGGUAUCGACCCCCUCUGCAUCGCAGUUAACACACUAAGCAUUCCACCUGGGGAGUACGGCCGCAAGGCUGAAACUCAAAGGAAUUGACGGGGACCCGCACAAGCAGUGGAGUAUGUGGUUUAAUUCGACGCAACGCGAAGAACCUUACCAGGGCUUGACAUCCCUCGCUAUUCUAAGAGAUUAGGAGUUCCCUUCGGGGACGAGGAGACAGGUGGUGCAUGGUUGU